rnacentral:piRNA from 1 species
UGUGGUCCUUGUCCGAUUUGUUGGGGCUGC